GACAGAGGGUGCAAACGUUGUUCGGAAUUACUGGGCGUAAAGCGUGUGUAGGCGGCCGCGCAAGUCGGAUGUGAAAUCCCCGGGCUCAACCCGGGAAGUGCACCCGAAACUGCGUGGCUUGAGUACCGGAGAGGUUGGUGGAAUUCUCGGUGUAGAGGUGAAAUUCGUAGAUAUCGAGAGGAACACCGGUGGCGAAGGCGGCCAACUGGACGAGUACUGACGCUGAGACACGAAAGCGUGGGGAGCAAAC
rnacentral:rRNA from 1 species